rnacentral:misc_RNA from 1 species
UGAACUCAUUUCGGAAACCUGUCUUUGCAAUUGCAACUUGCUUUGACCUUGCUGAUAUGGACUUGUUGGAUAAAACCCUUGACAAUAUUGGAAUUCCAUCAUCAACAUCAUCCAUAGGAAUCCCAAGAGAAAUAUCAUUCAUCUCCGGAUAAGAUAAUGUUGGUUCAGUUAGCUGCUGGCUUUCCCCAGCAGGGGGCAUAGGAUCACUGCUUAGUUGUAUGGGCAAUCCACGCGACUGAUAAACAGUUCCAGCACCAUAACUAAGAUGACCAUUCCCAUGUGGAAUGCCAUGAUCCGUUGUGCUAUCAGCGUUA